GGUGGGUGGGGAGGGGAGGGGGAAGGUAAGGGGAGGGGGUGUCUUCCAAGAAUGCAGCCCCCAGGAGUGUGUGGGGCAGGCAGGCUAAGGAGGGAAGACACGGAGUAGGAGAAACCAAAAACAGCAACCUCAACAGAAACCAUGAAAGAAUGGUCUGGAACCGAAUCUGAGAAAAGCUCCGCAUCCAGGAAGUCCAGAGUCACAGGCUCCCGGAAGUUGGUGGUCUGUUGGAGGCAGGGUGGGAAGUCAGAAGUCCCCAUUGUGGAAGGUCUGCUGCUUCUGUACCCCUGUGGCCCUCCUCUAGCCACUACUGCCCCUGAUUUGUGCCUCCUCCUUGUCCCCACGUCAAGAGAGAGCAGCGGGACGAGUGGACCCUUCGGAAUCCUACCUGGGGCUUCCCUUCCAGGUGGAAGGGAAGUAGGAGCCAAGAUGCAGACUCCCUGACCGCAGGCGCUGGGCCAGCCACAAUGCCAUCUUGCCCCUACCCUGGUUUAUGAUUGUUUUUCACCUUUGGGCCCUUGGCCAGAGAAUUCCCUCUGCCUCCAAUGUACGCCAUCCCCUCCUUUCCUUUCUGCCUGGGACACUCCUGCCUAUGUGCAUGGGCCAGGUCUGGCCUGCUGCCCAUUACUAUGUGGCCAUGAGCUAAGAAUGGUUUUAUGUUUUUAAAUGGCUGGAAAAAACAUCAAAGGAAGAAUUCUAUUUUGUGACAUGUGAAAAUUAUCUGAAAUUCAAAUAUCAGUAUCCACAAAUAAAAUUAAAUUGGAACAUAGC
rnacentral:lncRNA from 10 species